rfam:Papio anubis isolate 1X1155 chromosome 4, whole genome shotgun sequence.
ACGGAGACAUGGCGUGAAGCCAGAGAGUGAGACAUUAACUCAUUAGACUGGAACUUGAAAUGAUUCACAUCUCAUUUU